CCUUUAUUCCUAAACUGUUGGGACCAAAAACUCCCAAAAUCAAUACCCAACCUUCCUUUUAUGGUCAUAAACCUUGUGUUUAAAUUUCAUAGAUUUCUAUUUACUUAUACUAAAGUUAUGGUGCGAAAACCAAGAAAAAUGCUUAUUUGGGUCCCUUUUUGGCCCCUAAUUCCUAAACUGUUGGGACCUAAACUCCCAAAAUCAAUACCAACCUUCCUUUUGUGGUCAUAAACAUUGUGUUUAAAUUUCAUUGAUUUCUAUUUACUUAAACUAAAGUUAUUGUGCGAAAACCAAGAAUAAUGCUUAUUUGGGCCCUUUUUUUGGCCCCUAAUUCCUAAACUGUUGGAACCAAAACUCCCAAAAUCAAUCCCAACCUUCUUUUGUGGUCAUAAACCUUGUGUCAAAAUUUCAUAGAUUUCUAUUUACUUAAACUAAAGUUAUAGUGCGAAAACCAAGAAAAUGCUUAUUUGGGCCUUUUUGGCCCCUAAUUCCUAAAAUGUUGGGACAAAAACUCCCAAAAUCAAUCC
rnacentral:lncRNA from 1 species